rnacentral:rRNA from 1 species
GAUGAACGCUGGCGGCGUGCCUAAUACAUGCAAGUAGAACGCUGAAGCUUGGUGCUUGCACCGAGCGGAUGAGUUGCGAACGGGUGAGCAACGCGUAGGUAACCUGCCUCUUAGCGGGGGAUAACUAUUGGAAACGAUAGCUAAUACCGCAUAAAAGUCGAUAUCGCAUGAUAUUGAUUUGAAAGGUGCAAUUGCAUCACUAAGAGAUGGACCUGCGUUGUAUUAGCUAGUUGGUGAGGUAACGGCUCACCAAGGCGACGAUACAUAGCCGACCUGAGAGGGUGAUCGGCCACACUGGGACUGAGACACGGCCCAGACUCCUACGGGAGGCAGCAGUAGGGAAUCUUCGGCAAUGGGGGCAACCCUGACCGAGCAACGCCGCGUGAGUGAAGAAGGUUUUCGGAUCGUAAAGCUCUGUUGUAAGAGAAGAACGAGUGUGAGAGUGGAAAGUUCACACUGUGACGGAACUACCAGAAAG